UGAGAGCAGCCAGGCAGGAGGCUGGCUCCUGCAGUCGGGCGGGGCAGCACCACGCGGGGGGCAGGCACCGGGUCCUCGGCUCCCUCCACUUCUCUCCCAGCCCCUUCGCGGAGGGCAGCCCCGGCCCCCCAACAGCGGGAAUGACGCAGAGGGCCUCCCCACAGCCCCCGGCUCUAAGGCAGGGGCCAACAACCCGGCGCAGGUCAGCCGCAAGCAGCCCCGUGCGCUGCGCACCUACCUUGUCAGAGGUAGCCCUGUGCCCCCGCCAGGCGCCGUCAGCCCCGCGUGCAGCCCCCAGGCACGCCCGGGUAAGUCUAGGAUGUUCUACACCCAGAACCGGGGACAGCUCCGCCCCGAGCCCCCAGCGCCCAGGCUGGAUUCGGGGGAUUCAUCCAGCCCAGGGCAGCCUCACAGAGCAACCGCGCUCAUCACCUACUCUGAGUGUCUCUCCAGCACGCCCCUUUUGAGCCCUCUCCUUCAUCGCCCUUGGCUUACCGCUGUAUGCGCAAGGCCCUGCGUUGAACACGAGUACGCGGAAGUACAGGUUACUGCAGCGCUGUACACUGGUUUUUAAACUGUUUAGCAUAGGAUUAUUCUGCUGCACAAUCAUUGAUGUUACUAUGUCUGCUUUUGUGCGUAUGUCCUUGAAGAGUCUGACGGCCGUCAACAUUUGAAAGUUUCAGAUUAAGUGCUGCUUUCCUGAACUGUUUGAAGUUCUCUGGAGAUGCCUUUAUGGGAACUGGAAGUGCCAUCUUUUUACAUAAAUUUAUCCAGGAGUCUGCAUUCUUAAUUCUGAUGUCCUGAAAUUCAUCCAAAGAAGUGAGGUUUUUACCCACGAAAGCUUAUGCCCAAAUAAAUCUGUUAGUCUUUAAGGUG